UUUCAGACAUGUUACAUCUGCGAGGACCACGGCAGAGAGAGCAAAGCUGCGUGUGGGGCCUGCAUGACCUGCAACAGACAAGGCUGUCGACAGGCUUUCCACGUCACAUGUGCACAGAUGGCUGGUCUGCUGUGCGAGGAGGAGGGCCCAGAGGCCGACAACGUGAAGUACUGUGGCUACUGCAAGCACCACUACAACAAAAUGGUAUGACGCAAGGCCCUGCGGAGAAAUAAAGCUGUCAGGUUAGAUUAAUCAGUACACCUAAUGUUUUAUGUUUUGUUUGGCAGCAAAAGAAGUUACGCUCAAGUGAAAACACAAGCAGCUCCUUCACUCAUUCGAGGGGUCGGCCCAGCUCUCCUCCCCAAGACAAGCAUCAUCAUCACCACAAACUCAGAAAGUCAACAUCUCCAUGGAGACGAGCAGGAGUCGUCCCCGCUUCCAGUAAAGUUACAAGUCAGUUCUUAGGAGAGAGCCACAAAGACAAGACUCGACCGAAAGACCGUCAUAAGAAAUCUUCCGACAGCCUGAGCUCCUCCGUGACGAGCAGCAGCAUAGAGAAGAUUUCCUCCAGUCACCACAUCAGUAAAGACGGCGACAGUAAAUCUAAGAAGCUGAGCUCACACAGUCACAGUCAUCGCAGUAAGAAACCAGGAAGCACCGGCAAAGCUCGUCCUCGUCCUGUUCUUCCAGCCCUUUCAACACAGGUACAGGCACUAAAAUGGAAUCGCACUUAUGUUUGGUUAAUGGGACAAACUACGCACACACA
rnacentral:lncRNA from 1 species